rnacentral:lncRNA from 1 species
UUUGGCCUCGAGUAUCAUAUGUACAGGAGAGACAUUGAUUGUUGAAAUGCGCAUCUGGUGCAAAAAAAAACAUAGUACCGUUUAUGGUCUUUUUUUAUUGAUUAAAUUUUUCCCUGUGUUUUUUCUUCAACUGUUCACCUAGUUCUUUUUUUGGGGUAGUUUGUUUUUUUAGGCGUACGUAGAACUUUGUCGAACCAAUACGUA